CUCAGUAACGUUGGAUACAUUUUCAGCUACAAUGUAAACUCUUUAGUUUAUAAACCUGAGCUAAACUGGUAAUAAGAGGAAGGACUGAGAGAAAAGGACUAAUCCAGAGACUCAGCACUCAGGAUUCCAGCACUACUGAGAGAGGAAGUGAAGUCGCUAGAUCAGCCAUUCCAGACGAGGGACUGUCAGAAGCAAUUAGUUAGGGAUUCUUAGAAGCAGAAGAAACACAACUUCACUCCCAUAGCUGAAACACUAGACUGAGGAAGGCAAAAUGGCAGCUGGGUAUAUGGACAAAGAUUUUAAACUGGUCACCCCUGAUCAUCUUGUGAAGGCUUCUCUUGGUAAAGAUGCCACUCUGCCCUGUCACCUCUCUCCUGAAACCAGUGCUGUUGCCAUGGAGAUCAGGUGGUUUAAGGGGACAGACUGUAUCUACCUGUAUAAGAAUGGUCAUGAGACAGAGGGGGAGGGCUAUGAGGGCAGAGUGAGUGUGGACACCCAUGAGCUGCAGAGAGGAGACGUGUCUCUGAGCCUGAGAGUGAUCAGAGGGAAAGAGAUAGGAGUGUUUCUGAAACUAUGGAAGACAGUGGGAAAUGAACAAGUGUACACAUGCCAGGUCAUCAGUGGAGAACACAAGGAGGAGGGAAGAGUC